AUUGAACGCUGGCGGCAGGCCCAACACAUGCAAGUCGAGCGGAUGACGGGAGCUUGCUCCUUGAUUCAGCGGCGGACGGGUGAGUAAUGCCUAGGAAUCUGCCUGGUAGUGGGGGACAACGUUUCGAAAGGAACGCUAAUACCGCAUACGUCCUACGGGAGAAAGCAGGGGACCUUCGGGCCUUGCGCUAUCAGACGAGCCUAGGUCGGAUUAGCUAGUAGGUGAGGUAAUGGCUAACCUAGGCGACGAUCCGUAACUGGUCUGAGAGGAUGAUCAGUCACACUGGAACUGAGACACGGUCCAGACUCCUACGGGAGGCAGCAGUGGGGAAUAUUGGACAAUGGGCGAAAGCCUGAUCCAGCCAUGCCGCGUGUGUGAAGAAGGUCUUCGGAUUGUAAAGCACUUUAAGUUGGGAGGAAGGGCAGUAAGUUAAUACCUUGCUGUUUUGACGUUACCGACAGAAUAAGCACCGGCUAACUCUGUGCCAGCCGCCGCAGUAAUAC
rnacentral:rRNA from 1 species